AUGGCCACCUUACCAUCCCUCGUGCUCCUCCUCCUCCUCCCCUGCUGCCUCCUGCACCGCGCGGGCGCCCAGACCGCCCGUGAGGGGCAGCUUCUCAUCCGGAUCAAGCGCGCGUGGGGCGACCCGCCCGUGCUGGCGGCAUGGAACAGCUCCAGCGACCACUGCACCUGGCCCUACGUGAUCUGCGACGCGUCCUCCGGGCGCGUCACGAGCCUCUCCCUCGCCAACGCCUGCGUCGCCGGCUCGUUCCCGGACGCCAUCGGCGGCCUCUCCAGCCUCAGGAGCCUCAACCUCUCCAACAACCACAUCGCCGGCGCCUUCCCGACCAGCAUCUACCGGUGCGCUUCGCUCCGGCACCUCGAUUUGUCACUUACCUACCUCCACGGCGAGCUCCCUGCCGACAUCGGCAACGGCGUGCCGCUGCUGCAGACGAUGAACUUGUCAGGUAACCAGCUCUCUGGCGAGAUCCCGAGGAGCGUAGCCAAGCUCCGCUUGCUGACGCAGUUGGACCUGAGCAAGAAUCAGCUCGCCGGCGAGAUACCGGCUGAAUUGGGCGCCAUGCGGGUGCUCAACGCGCUUGACCUGUCAUCAAACAAGCUAUCCGGCGACAUACCGCCACCGCUUGCCAAGCUAAAGCUCAGCUCGCUCAACCUGUCAUCCAACCAGCUCGACGGCCAUGUACCGGCAGGACUCGCCAUCGCCGCUUACGACCGGAGCUUCCUCGACAACCCCGGCCUCUGCCAUGCCGGUCUGGGCCCCGGCUACCUCACCGGCGCGCUACUGUGCUGCGAGAUCACAAGCCAUCUUCUCCUCCGGGGGCGUCUCGCCGGAGCUCCGCACUGGCCUCCUGUCGCUGCCGGCGUGCUCCUUGUCCUUAUCAUGGCCUUCGCCUUCUUCAUCGUCCGCGACAUCAGGAAAAGGAAGCGCGCGGCACAGGGCGGUAGCUGGAAGAUCACGCCUUUUCAGACCCUGGAUUUCGGGGAGGCGGCCAUACUCCGGGCGCUGACCGAAGAGAACCUCGUCGGCAGCGGCGGGUCGGGACGCGUGUACCGCGCCGCGUACACCAACCGGUACAACGGCAAGGCCGGCGCCGCUGCCGUGAAGAAAAUACGGAGCGCCGGGAAGGUGGAAGAGAGGCUGGAGCGCGAGUUCGAGUCGGAGGCCAGCAUCCUCGGCGGCGUCCGGCACAAGAACAUCGUCAGGCUCCUGUGCUGCCUCUCCCACGCCGACUCCGGCGACAAGCUCCUCGUGUACGACCACAUGGACAACGGCAGCCUCGACGGGUGGCUCCACAGGCACGCUCUCCCCCACGGCGCCGGGCACUCCGCGUCGUCCAACGAGGGUGGUUUGGACUGGCCCACGAGGAUCAGAGUCGCCGUCGGCGCCGCGCAGGGGCUCCGCUACCUGCACCACGAGUGCUCCCCGCCCAUCGUUCACCGGAACGUCAAGACCAGCAACAUCUUGCUGGACUCCGAGUUCCGAACCAAGGUCGCAGACUUCGGGCUGGCUAGGAUGCUGGUGCAGGCCGGCACGCCCGACACCAUGUCCGCCGUUGCCUGGUCGUUCGGCUACAUGGCUCCAGAGUGCGCUAACACGACGAGUGUGACGGAGAAGGUGGACGUGUACAGCUUCGGCGUGGUGCUCCUGGAGCUCGGGCGGGCGGCCAACGACGGCGGCGAGGACGGGUCCCUGGCGGAAUGGGCGCGGCGCCUGUGCCAAUCAGGAGGAAGCAUCGACGGAGCCACAGACAGUCGCAUCAGAAACGCGGGAUUCUCCGAGGAGAUCGAAUUCGUGUUCAGGCUAGGCCUGAUGUGCACGACAGAGUCGCCGUCGUCGCGGCCGACCAUGAAGUACGUGCUGCAGAAGCUGCUCAGGUGCUCCGAGCAGACGCACCAGAAGGGCAAGGUGACUCCGCUCUUGCAGACGCUCUUGGAGAAGAGUGACUUCGACAGCACUGUCUGA
rnacentral:rRNA from 1 species